rnacentral:rRNA from 1 species
GAGGAGCCCGCGGCCUAUCAGCUAGUUGGUGAGGUAACGGCCCACCAAGGCUUUGACGGGUAGCUGGUCUGAGAGGACGACCAGCCACACUGGGACUGAGACACGGCCCAGACACCUACGGGUGGCAGCAGUCGAGAAUUUUUCUCAAUGGGGGAAACCCUGAAGGAGCGACGCCGCGUGGAGGAUGAAGGUCUUCGGAUUGUAAACUCCUGUCAUUGGGGAACAAGGUGCAUACGUUAACUGCGUGUGCAUUGAUAGUACCCGAAGAGGAAGAGACGGCUAACUCUGUGCCAGCAGCCGCGGUAAUACAGAGGUCUCAAGCGUUGUUCGGAUUCAUUGGGCGUAAAGGGUGCGUAGGCGGCGCGGUAAGUCGGGUGUGAAAUCUCGGAGCUUAACUCCGAAACUGCAUUCGAUACUGCCGUGCUUGAGGACUGGAGAGGAGACUGGAAUUUACGGUGUAGCGGUGAAAUGCGUAGAUAUCGUAAGG